GACGAACGCUGGCGGCGUGCUUAACACAUGCAAGUCGAACGGGUCUGCCCUGUUUUUUGCGGGGUGGGUCAGUGGCGAACGGGUGAGUAACACGUGAGUAACCUGCCCCUCACUUCUGGAUAACCGCUUGAAAGGGUGGCUAAUACGGGGUGUUCUGGCUGUGCCGCAUGGUGUGGCUGGGAAAGAUUCACUUUUGUGGUGUUUUGGUGGGGGAUGGGCUCGCGGCCUAUCAGCUUGUUGGUGGGGUGAUGGCCUGCCAAGGCUUUGAUGGGUAGCCGGCCUGAGAGGGUGGGCGGUCACACUGGGACUGAGAUACGGCCCAGACUCCUGCGGGAGGCAGCAGUGGGGGGUAUUGCACAAUGGGCGGAAGCCUGAUGCAGCGACGUCGCGUGAGGGAUGGAGGCCUUCGGGUUGUGAACCUCUUUCGCCGGUGAAGAAGGUCCUGCUCUUUGUGGUGGGGUUGACGGUAGCCGGGUUAUGAAGCGCCGGCUAACUACGUG
rnacentral:rRNA from 1 species